CCCAGAAGGAUGCAAUCAAACAGAUGAGUUUAUUGAACACACGCGUGGGAAGAUGUACACUGCAAAACAUCAGAUGUAGAUCUCCGCCCAAAAAUACACUUCAGAUUGCUUUUAUAACGUCAGGAUUGGUUAACGCCCCUUCUCGCGUUUUACAAGAACAUAAUUUGCAUCUUCUUCCAAAUAUGUCGAUGAUCUCAGGCCCUGAAGAUCCCCAGGGACUUGUCCUCCUCUUUGGCCCAUCUUCUGUCACCUUUUACUAAGCAAACUCAAAUGCAACAAGAAGCUGAAUACAUUCAGGCCUUCACUCAAGCCUGUUUCUAGAUUAUAUGUGUUAUAUGUGUUUUGUAGGCGUGUAUGCAGUUUUAACCUUCUAUAGCUCCAAGUCACUUACACAAUAGAUCGUCUGGACAUCGUGCCGAACGAGGCUUACAACCUCCAAUUAAUUGACUGAGCUGCAACUCUUUAAUAAGCACAAAAUGCAAUGUGUAUAAAAUGGUCAUAGCUGUACCUGUAAUAAAAAUAUUAGUGUAAUGCCAACAGUUUCAAUAAAUGCUUUAAUGAAAUGAUGAUUAAUUUGAUUAAUGCAAUGGUAAUGACUUAAUGCAAAGUUAAUUAAUACAAUGGUAAUAAUGAUGAGUAUGAGUAGCAGUAAAAUAUUUUCCUUAUUCCACACUCCCUCUCUUGACGUCUCCUUCAGAGACGUCACCACACCGUUUGUUGUGUCACUCCUCGGCCCACUCGGCUACCUCCAACUCCAUUAGUGGCAUCAUGGUCACCGAACUCACCGGUUCAGAGCUCACGGCCCUGGUUAUUACCUUCUCCAGCAGUCCUCUGGCACAAGGAAUGAAACAACAACCACAAGUGACCAAAAUUCCCAAGAAACAGGCAACAGAAAGCAUUACAGACAUAACAAACCCCUUCCAUUGUCCAAACACGGAUGUGUCGCCCCGCUUUUUCAGUUGGACAGCUGUUGUGGUUCGGGCGAUCACCUCGUAUGGACCCGUCCCGUCUGCAGAAUGUACUCCAGAUGUAACCUAUUUUGUGAAACUGGAGACAAGAGCUUUUAAUUCAUCCCAAUAUUCUGCAUGAGACCGGUUACUUCUGGUGGGCUGUUCCCCCGGGACCACUGUCCAGGGUGCCGGAAACUGCCUUCCUGUCAGCAGCUCGUAUGGCGUGAAACCUGUGGAUUGGUUAACAGAACAUCUUAUGGUCAUUAAAGCAAUUGGCAGGGCUGCAACCCAAUUUUAGCCCCGUCUGCGUGCAGAUUUUGCCCAAUUUGUUUUUCAAAUUUAGAUUCAUUCUCUCUACUUUCCCUUGAGACUCAGGAUGAUACACUGUCCCAUACUUAUGCUGAACCCCCAACAUCCUCUCUCUUAGUAGCCCAUGCUUCUGGCCAACCGGUCAGAGCAUCUACACACACCUGCAGGUACCUGACUCCCGCCGGGCCCAUUUCAAUCAUGUCUGUGAAAUCAAUAACAAUCUCUUCUCCUGGCCUCUCAGGCAGGAGAAACUUACCUGCUUCCGGUUUUACUGGCUUCGGAUUGUGUGCCCCGCAAAUUAGGCACGUUCUGGCUUUUUCCUUUAUCAUAUCUCUCAAGUUCGGGUGCCAUCAGUGACACAGAUUUUUCUCCAUCUGUGCCACUCCCACAUGGCCGAGCCCGUGAGCCUCUGUUAUCUUCUGUUUUGCCAUUUUGGCUGUUAUGGUCCUUUCCAUAGGCUUCCAUCUUUCCAGGCUCCUUGGCUUUGCCACACCCCCUUUUCCUCUGGGGAUGCCUCUUCUUGAGCCUGUCGGGCUUCUUCUAGCCCAUCGGUGCUUGGUUCUUCUUCAGCAAUUACCUGCACGAUUUGCUGCUUUCCUUUGCAGCCUGCUGCUUCCUUGGCAGCCUCAUCUGCUUUCUGGUUCCCCUUUGCCACCAUUGUGGUUGCUUGAGAGUAUCCUUUACAUUUUAUGAUACUGACCUCGUCUGGGUCGUCCAGGGCCUUUUCCAGUUCCUCCAUUUCUUUCUGGUGGGAAAUGGGAGCAUUUGUUGCCGUUCUGAAGCCUGCUCUCUUCCAUUGAGCGAGCUCCAUGUGUGCUGCCCCAAAUGCAUAAGCUGAAUCUGUGUAUAUGUUCACUCUCUUGUUUUUAGCCAGUCUCAGGGCCCUGCUCAGUGCAAUUACUUCUGCUCUCUGAGCUGACUGUUGCCCUUCAAGUCUCCUGGCCUCUCUGACUUUUUCUUCAGCUUCAGCUUUCUUGAUGCAGUCGUGUGGUUCUCCUGACUACAUCGGCUAGUUGAUUCUCCACUGUUUCACAUGGUACAUCAUUCAGGAGCAAGCUCCAGUUCCUCUUUGUUUAUGGACAGAGUCUGUAUCUGUCCCUCUAGUUUCUUAUUUUCCUGUUGCAAAUCUUGCAGAGACUUUAGGAUGCUCUUUACAUCCUCUUUCAGCUCCCUGUUGUCUUCCUGUUGCUUGGGAGGUUCAGUUUGCUUCACUUCCUCUUUCAUCCAACCGGAUAUUCCUUGGCACAUGAUCAUCAUUUGCAACACUUACCGUGAUUCUCUUUCAAAGUUUUCAUCUCUGCUUUGGUUUUGCUGUUCACUGACUGGCCCAGGGUGUCUUCCUGCAGCUGUUUCAGUUUCCUUUCACAGUUUUCCCCUUCAUUUUUGAAAACCAUGAACAAAGGCUCUCUGUCUUCCAUUGUUCCUGGACAAGCCAUAUGGAUGGCUCUCUUCAGAUGGUUCAUUUGGUCCUUCAGUGGUUUAUAUGCCUUCUGUCCACUGGGUGUUGCACUUGAGCUGUCAGCCAUGUUGUUUCCUGAAACUCACGAAAUGGCUACUGUGUGUCCCCGCCAAGUUUCUCGAUGACACUUACCUUUCACUUUCAGAAGCAGUGCAGCUGCUCCAAGAGGCACUUCCUCUUUUUUUCACCAGCUCGGUGAACCAGCACAAUAAUCAACCCAGAAACUUUAAUGCUGUAUUCCCUUGUGAAUGCACAAAACCAGCCACAAUUAUCACUAGAAACAUGCACCAACUCUGAAAAUAACUCACUAUGGUCUCUCAGUGCUUCAUUCAACUGCACACAGUGUGCCCCUGAGAAACAAAAACAAGUUCAGUCAACCCAGAUACUGAGCACCUCUGCAGCUCAAUUACUGAAACAAUAAACAAAGAUGUCAAAACCAAUGUCCUCUUUCUUAAACUCAGAAUCACUCAAUGUACUUUCACCCACUCUUUUAGUGAGGUACAAGGCGUCAUGGGAGUACGCCUACACACCAAGUGACAAAAGGUUCAACGUGUCUUUCACUCAUUUCACAGAGAAGUAAAAUGCCAAAGCAAAUAUUAAGUAUUUCUCCGUAGAGGUAAAUCUCAAAACGAUUCACUUCACCUUCCUGUGUUAAAUCAGCGCUCAAUGUGAAAUAAUUAAACAUGUCAAUGUACUCGAAAAAGAGGAACAAAGCCGCGCCCUAUUAUUUGCCUGUGAGAUCCCAGCUUCUCAACAUUAAUAAAGGAAAAUUCUGAAAUUAAUUAGCAAUAAACAACAAUGUGUACAUGAAUAUCCACUAUUUCAAACUCUAAAUCAAAAUCAGGCACCUCAACCAUGUAGGUUGUCUUUAGAAAUCAAUAAGAAACAAUUGAACAUACUCUUUUCUACAAAAAGGGAAGUAGGUCUCAAAUUUUAAGUGCGUAUUAAGCCUUUAAGAAAGUCCCAGAGAAAAAGGGAAGUGACCGCACCCAAUGACACUUUUAUGAUUUCACUGAAAAUAUCACAGUUUAAUCUAUUUCGUUGCACUGUACCUGUGGAUGUGCAAUGACAAUAAACUUGAAUUCUAUUCUAUUCUAUUCUAUUUAGUUUUCUACAUGCACAAAAAUGGCCACUUAAUAACAGUCAAAAAUCACCCUCUUAAAAACAGUCUAUGUAUUUUGUCAACAACCUGUUACUUUGGUAACUAUUUCACUCAGAAGGAUUAGCUAGGCCUUGGAAAAUGACUAGACACUCGGUCAGGAACUGGUGAAAUUGCUCUUCAGUUAAAUCUGCGGAUGUGGAAUAUUCAUAUUGUUCGUCCACUGUUUCACAGCAAAUGACAAAGUACGCAUGAAUCCCUUCAGGUACACAUGUUAGUUCAAUCCUCAAGGACGAAGCAAUAAGGUCACCCUGCCACUCAAAAAAAGGGGACGUUAGGAUAGUCCAUUAAAUACUUAUAUUGCUCCAAACUCAAAAAAGUACUUAAAUCUUCAACUAUAUUCUCUCAAUGUCCUUCAAAAUUCAGAAUCUAAAUCUUGUCUCACUCACUGCUGAAGUUCUAGUUCAAUGAACACAUGUGUCGCAGUUUAAAAUUAAAAAGAGGAAGUACCUCACACCCAAGACCUGUGUGUGUGUUAAUGUGUGUGUGCCUUCAAAAAAAGAAAAAGUGAACAUAUAUGGUGAGUUUUCCUCAAUUUACACAAAAUAUGACUUUAGAUAUCCUUUUGUAAUUUCUGUUCUGCUUUAAACACGAUGAAUAACCUCCAGGUCAUGAACUUUGGACUUAUAAUCCUGAUAUAACUCCACACAAUGCACCGAGUACGGAGAAAAUGCAACAUCAGUAUUUAAAAUUCUCCACACAAUUGAAAAACUGUUUCUAUCAUUUAUUUAACCAAGAACUUUAUCAAAUGGACCUCAGAAGACCCAUCAACAUUCAGUACCUGUAUAUUACCGCAGUUAAUGAUGCUCAAAACUCAAAACAGUCAGUGUCAAAUCAGUCAACCUUGACGUUUUCACUGAAUCACGGCGGAUUCAGAUAUAGGCAGUAAAAACUUCUAAAAACCAGCAAUGUUUCUUUACAGGGACCACGCCAGAUCCACUGACAUUUAUCAACAUUAAAUCAACAAUGUCAACAUUGAUUUUCAUUCAGAAUUACCUUGUCAGAAAACCUUUUUACUAUCACACACUUGGCUUCCUGAAAUUCUGCUUCACGUCAGAAAACCUUGCCCAACCCAAGGUUUAUUUGCCGGACCUCCACGUCCGGGAUUACUUUUCCUAUUGUUACGGCCCUAGCUGGGCCUCCUGAUACUGCCCUUGUGUGGGCGUGGUGUUUUUCUCCGCCUCCUCCUCUUUUGCUCCACCCCUCUGUCUCUCUCUUGCUCUUCUCUCUCCCCAGGACACAGCUGCUGCUCAUUGGACUCAUUUACCACCUGGGCCCAGUCAGCAAUCACCUCUCUGAGGUCAUAUAAGCUGGGGAUGAGCUGUGAGCAGGGGGUGGGGUGUCUCUGCUUGGUGUGUAGGUAGCCUGCCUGAAUUGUGGAGUUGUGGAGUUGUGGAAGCAGUAUAGCUGCUUUACGUGAGUAGUGUGGGCUUGUGGGCCUUGGCAGCAGUAAAGCCAGCUGCUGUUAGUGACAGGGUGAGCUUGUGGGCCCCUGGAAGUGCCUCCUCGUGGUGUGGAGUUUUUGUUUGGUUGUUGUGUUCUUUGUUGUUGCAACCUUUUUUCCCUUUUUCGGCAUGUUAUUGGUAAUACGGCGUUGCCGGCUCCUUAUGUUAUGAUUAUCUAUAAUAAAGACUAUGUUAUUUUACUAAGAACACCUGUCUGUUUUCCUUUCAUUCUGUUCUGGACUCAUUUGUUACUGGUCCCCUCACUCGCAUGCCUAGACCCCUUCGGGGGGGACGUAACAC